rnacentral:rRNA from 1 species
CCUACGGGAGACAGCAGUCGAGAAUCAUUCACAAUGGGGGAAACCCUGAUGGUGCGACGCCGCGUGGGGGAAUGAAGGUCUUCGGAUUGUAAACCCCUGUCAUGUGGGAGCAAAUUAAAAAGAUAGUACCACAAGAGGAAGAGACGGCUAACUCUGUGCCAGCAGCCGCGGUAAUACUGAGGGCUCAAGCGUUGUUCGGAAUCACUGGGCGUAAGGCGUGCGUAGGCUGUUUCGUAAGUCGUGUGUGAAAGGCGCGGGCUCAACCCGCGGACGGCACAUGAUACUGCGAGACUAGAGUAAUGGAGGGGGAACCGGAAUUCUCGGUGUAGCAGUGAAAUGCGUAGAUAUCGAGAGGAACACUCGUGGCGAAGGCGGGUUCCUGGACAUUAACUGACGCUGAGGCACGAAGGCCAGGGGAGCGAAAGGGAUUAGAUACCCCAGUAGUC